rnacentral:rRNA from 1 species
GACAGAGGGUGCAAACGUUGUUCGGAUUUACUGGGCGUAAAGCGCGUGUAGGCGGCUUUGCAAGUCGGAUGUGAAAUCCCACGGCUCAACCGUGGAAGUGCAUCCCGAAACUGCAUCGCUGGAGUCUCGGAGAGGAAGGUGGAAUGCUUGGUGUAGAGGUGAAAUUCGUAGAUAUCAAGCAGAACACCUGCGGCGAAGGCGGCCUUCUGGACGAUGACUGACGCUCAUGCACGAAGCGUGGG